UUUGACAUGGAUGAUCAACUUGCCCUCAAUGACACAUUAGUUUGUGUUAUGAUUAUAUCUUGUUCUGAGUCAAA